AAUAAGAGGUGGGAGGCAGCCUCACAAGUUAGCAAUGCAGGGAAUGUUACAAGGAGUUAGCUUCAGUAUGAAAAAAACAUUUGUUUAGAGGCAUGGGAUAGAAUCACUGAAAUGCUGAGACAACUGUUCCUUCUCCUCCCUUGAGCUAAGACCCUGAAAGCUGAACCAGUACCAUCUCCUUGGAGCACCUUCUGAGGGUCCCUCUAGCCUACAAAGUGUAGUCAAGUGGAAUUUGUGCGCUUUCCUGAUUCAGGCCCAAUCCAGUCUUCCUAUGCCAGCCACAGAGCAGUCCCAUACUCCCUUCUGCUCAAUCCUACCCUGCCUCUUCUGCCUAGCAGCUGUGUCUCAUAAGAUGUUAAUACUGCAGAUGUCCUGAGAAGUAUGUGUCUUCCAUGGUCAAGCUGUCACCUAGGCUGGAGUGCAGUGAUGUGAUUAUGGCCCACUGAAGCCUCAAUCUCCAAGACUCAAGUGAUCCUCCUGCCUCAGCCCCUCUCCAAGUAGCUGGGACUACAGAAGCGUACAGGUAGCAGACCAGCAAGUUAACUACAUAAUCACAUCUCUCAGUAGAACGUGACUACCAUUCCUGCAAGAACCUUAAACAAACACUUAUCACCAUCAAGAUGCCUAUUCUGGCAGAAGCCCAUUCCUCCAUCUGCAUGGAUGAUCAGAACAGAAAACAAUCCGGGAAUAUGUUGCUGUUUAGAAUUGGAGCAUCAAAAGCCAAUGCAGAAGAUACAGAAGGAGCAGCCAGGAAGAAAAUCAGGACAGUGGUGUUUCACAGAAACCUAGAGAGAAGAGAAUUUCACAGAAAAAUUAGCAGAGCAUGCCAACUACUGAUACUGAUUAGGGAAAUUUAGAAAUGUCAAAAAUCUUCUAACUCAGCCAUGAAGAGAUCACUGCUGAUUUUCUGUCAGGGAAAAACCCCAA
rnacentral:lncRNA from 1 species